CUGAAUUUCUAUCCUGGACUGAUAGUGGUGAUUUUGGUAAUCUCCUUUUACAGUGCCUUAUAAUAAUCACUUCUGUAAAGUCCUUUUACAGUGCCUUAGAAAUGGAGGAUUCACAGGCAGGAAAAGAUUUCAACCAUCAGAAUGGCUGGAAAGUGAGAAUGUUCCAGGGCACUGACCAUGGAAAGAGCCUUCCUUAACCAGUUAACACAACCUAAAAAACAUCACACCAUUCACAGCAGUGGGGGAAAACCAUGUUCUCUCUGUGGAUGAAGCUUCAACUGAUCAUCCAACCUGGAGAGACACAAGGGCACCAUGGAGAAACCAUGGAAAUGUGGGGACUGUGGGAAAGGAUUCAAUUACCCAUCCCAUCUCGAAAUUCAUCGACGCAGUCACACUGGGGAGAGGCCGUUCACCUGCUCCGUGUGUGGAAAAAGUUUCAUUCAGUCACAACACCUGCUGUCACACCAGCGCGCUCACUCCAAUAAGAGAUCUUUGAAGUGUUCUGACUGCGAGAAGAGCUUUAAAAGCAGAAACCACCUGAUGCAACACCAACACACUCACACUGGAGAGAGGCCAUUCAAAUGCUCCGUGUGUGGGAAAGGAUUCACUCAGUCAUCCACUCUGACGAGGCACCAGCAGACUCACACUGGGAAAAGGCCAUUCACCUGCUCAAUGUGUGGGAACGGAUUCAUUCAGUCAUCCACCUUGCUGAGGCACCAGCGAGUUCACACUGGAGAGAGGCCAUUCACUUGCUCUAUUUGCGGGAAGGGAUUCACUCGGUUAAGCACCCUCACUUCACAUCAACGUGUUCACACCAAUAAAUGACCUUCGAAAUAUUGUGAAUGCGAGAAGGGUGAGUGAGGUGCAGAUGCACCAACACACUCAUGGCGGGUAGAGGCUGUUCACCUACUCUGUGUGUGAGAAGGGAAUCCCUCAGUCACAACACCAGCUAAGGUGGCAGCGAAUUCACAUGUGAUUACUGCUGUUAAUCACUUUUUAGAGAUUCAUUCAUGGGAUGUGAGCUUUGCUGGCUAGGCCAGCAUCUAUUGCCUAUCCUGAGUUACCUUCAAAAAGGUGGGUGGUGAGCUGUGUUUGUUUGUUUCAGCUGAUGUUAAACUCCAACCCUAUUAUAAAGCUUAUUAAUAUUCUGGAUGAAUGUGAGAUAAAUCUGUUUUAGAGGAAAUGCACAGUGUUUUGUUCCAUACUUCUCUAAUAUAAGUGGAGAUUAAUGAAUGUCCUGUUGCCAACUGCUUCAUUUGUGGGUCUUUUCUCCUUUCUAGCUCUAGAUUAUUUCAGUUCUCAUAACUCCUGUUACUCUCAUGGACAAGUCCCAGCUCCUCAUACCUUCCAGAGUGUCUCUCCUAGCCUUGAGAUCCAGGGAAGAUAUCGGUAACACACCCAGGAUCACUGAACACAAAACCCAGUCUGUUAAUUGUUUUCAGCUCCUGGACUUACAUGUGUGCCACAGUACCUUUCUUCCCUUUGAUGUGUGAAUACAGCAUCAAGUCUGUAAACUUGGUUUAAAUUGAAAUCCAUUCAGUAAAUAUAUUUUUACAGGAGCCUGUAGGCUGUUGAGACUCUGUUAAACUGUCAGUGUGCUCCUGUACUGCUCUGUAUUUUGCCUGUAAUGCAAAAUGCCUGAACCUUUGUCCCAGUAGAACCUUUGCUGUUAUGAAAUGUGGGUGUAUAUUAAUGAGCCUCACAUCCUUGCUCAUGUCUGCUGCAAUUGUGUCGAGAGAGGAUGUGUAAAGAGCUGGUCUUUAUAUGGAGACGUGAACGAAGGAAACGGUAUGUGUGUGUGGUAGUGAGACAGCCUUGUGCUCACACUCAGAAGAAUACACAGAUAUCCUUGUGGUUAUGGUUUGAGCAGGGUCAAAUCACAGAUGUAGUGAACAAGUUAAAUAUAAAUAUCUCCACUGUAGCUGCAGCUUGUUGGAGAAGAGAGCUCUGAAUCCACUGUAUCAUCUCUGUUCUCUGGAUCGGGUAACUACCUCUUUUUAAAAUAUAAUGGUAUUUUAUUCAUGAAAUACAUUCACAGCUCAAAGGCUGAACUGUAACUUACAUCAUAAAAUUUAAUAUAUAGACUAAAUAAUCAAGUUGAAAACAUGGAAAUGUGACAAUCUGCAAUAACAAAAAUCAGUAAACAAACUCAGGUAAUGGAAGUGGUGGACGGGAUACUAAAAGAAGGAAUAUUGAAUUAAAGUUAUAUUAAAAUUGCACACCAAUACACCAUUCCUAUAGUACAGAACCUGAAGUAUGCAACUGACGACAUUUGUAAGUACUUCAUUGAGUACUCUGUCUGUAUGAUUGCAGUGUUGUUAAUAAAGUCAGGAGAAGACAAUC